rnacentral:rRNA from 1 species
UACGUAGGGACCAAGCGUUGUUCGGAUUUACUGGGCGUAAAGGGCGCGUAGGCGGCUUGACAAGUCACUUGUGAAAUCUCCGGGCUUAACUCGGAACGGCCAAGUGAAACUGUCAUGCUAGAGUGCAGAAGGGGCAAUCGGAAUUCUUGGUGUAGCGGUGAAAUGCGUAGAUAUCAAGAGGAACACCUGAGGUGAAGACGGGUUGCUGGGCUGACACUGACGCUGAGUGCGCGAAAGCCAGGGGAGCAAACGGG